GCAAACAGGAUUAGAUACCCUGGUAGUCCACGCCGUAAACGAUGUCAACUAGUUGUUCGUGUCAUUAAGACGUGAGUAACGCAGCUAACGCACUAAGUUGACCGCCUGGGGAGUACGGCCGCAAGGUUAAAACUCAAAUGAAUUGACGGGGGCCCGCACAAGCGGUGGAGCAUGUGGUUUAAUUCGAUGCAACGCGAAGAACCUUACCAUCCCUUGACAUCCAGUGAAUUUUUCAGAGAUGAAUUAGUGCCUUCGGGAACACUGAGACAGGUGCUGCAUGGCUGUCGUCAGCUCGUGUUGUGAGAUGUUGGGUUAAGUCCCGCAACGAGCGCAACCCUUAUCCUUAGUUGCCAGCACGUAAAGGUGGGAACUCUGGGGAGACUGCCGGUGAUAAACCGGAGGAAGGUGGGGACGACGUCAAGUCAUCAUGGCCCUUACGGGAUGGGCUACACACGUGCUACAAUGGCGCAUACAAAGGGCAGCAAGCCAGCGAUGGUUAGCGAAUCUCAUAAAGUGCGUCGUAGUCCGGAUCGGAGUCUGCAACUCGACUCCGUGAAGUCGGAAUCGCUAGUAAUCGUGGAUCAGAAUGCCACGGUGAAUACGUUCCCGGGCCUUGUACACACCGCCCGUCACACCAUGGGAGUGGGCUGCACCAGAAGUGG
rnacentral:rRNA from 1 species